GAAAUUAAAAGGCCCAUUCUUUAGUUACUGACAAGGAAAAGGCUUGAAAGAAACGAACUAGAGAUGCUGGAAAUCAACUUCUUUUUGGAAGAAAAGAGCGUUGCAAAAGCGAAUUACACUUGUUCAACUUGCUUUAUUACAUCAAAAGCUUUAAGGAAAAGAAAAAUGGUUGUCCUCAUCUCUAGCAACUGUGGGGACACUUACCGGGAACUAGUUAACACUCUUUACAAAUGCUUUACGGCUGUUAAAAUCACAUCUAACCUAGGCCAAAUAGUAGUAGUAAU
rnacentral:lncRNA from 1 species